UACAGAGGGUGCAAGCGUUGUUCGGAAUUAUCGGGCGUAAAGCGCGUGUAGGCGGCUUUGCAAGUCGGGUGUGAAAGCCCUCAGCUCAACUGAGGAAGUGCGCCCGAAACUGCAGAGCUUGAGAACCGGAGAGGAUGGCGGAAUUCCCCAAGUAGAGGUGAAAUUCGUAGAUAUGGGGAGGAACACCGGUGGCGAAGGCGGCCAUCUGGACGGAUUCUGACGCUGAGACGCGAAAGCGUGGGUAGCAAACAGG
rnacentral:rRNA from 1 species